rnacentral:rRNA from 1 species
UAACAAGGUUUCCGUAGGUGAACCUGCGGAAGGAUCAUUACAGUGUUCCCUGCCCUCACGGGUAGAAACGCCCACCCUUGUGUCUAUGUUAUAUUGUUGCUUUGGCAGGCCGCCUUCGGGCACUGGCUCCGGCUGGAUCGUGCCUGCCAGAGGAUCUCAAACCCUGAAUGUUAGUGUCGUCUGAGUACUAUCUAAUAGUUAAAACUUUCAACAACGGAUCUCUUGGUUCUGGCAUCGAUGAAGAACGCAGCGAAAUGCGAUAAGUAAUGUGAAUUGCAGAAUUCAGUGAAUCAUCGAAUCUUUGAACGCACAUUGCGCCCCUUGGUAUUCCGGGGGGCAUGCCUGUUCGAGCGUCAUUUAAACCAAUCCAGCUUGCUGGGUCUUGGGCCGUUCGCCUCUGGGCGGGCCUUAAAAUCAGUGGCGGUGCCACCCGGCUCUACGCGUAGUAAUUCUUCUCGCGAUAGGGUCCUGGGUGGAGGCUUGCCAACAACCCCCAAUUUUCAAAGGUUGACCUCGGAUCAGGUAGGGAUACCCGCUGAACUUAAGCAUACANNGG